rnacentral:ribozyme from 1 species
UGGCAGUCCUGUUGAAAAACAGAGAAGUCAACCAGAGAAACACACGUUGUGGUAUAUUACCUGGUA